AGAGUUUGAUCCUGGCUCAGAUUGAACGCUGGCGGCAUGCCUUACACAUGCAAGUCGAACGGCAGCGCGGGGCAACCUGGCGGCGAGUGGCGAACGGGUGAGUAAUAUAUCGGAACGUACCCUGGAGUGGGGGAUAACGUAGCGAAAGUUACGCUAAUACCGCAUACGAUCUAAGGAUGAAAGUGGGGGAUCGCAAUACCUCAUGCUCCUGGAGCGGCCGAUAUCUGAUUAGCUAGUUGGCGGGGUAAAAGCCCACCAAGGCAACGAUCAGUAGCUGGUCUGAGAGGACGACCAGCCACACUGGAACUGAGACACGGUCCAGACUCCUACGGGAGGCAGCAGUGGGGAAUUUUGG
rnacentral:rRNA from 1 species